rnacentral:hammerhead_ribozyme from 1 species
AUCCAGCUGAUGAGUCUCAAAUAGGACGAAACUUGAGUUCUGGAC